AACGAACGCUGGCGGCAGGCCUAACACAUGCAAGUCGAGCGAGGACUUCGGUUCUAGCGGCGGACGGGUGAGUAACGCGUGGGAAUGUGCCCUUCUCUACGGAAUAGCCCUGGGAAACUGGGAGUAAUACCGUAUACGCCCUAUUGGGGACAGAUUUAUCGGAGAAGGAUCAGCCCGCGUUGGAUUAGGUAGUUGGUGGGGUAAUGGCCUACCAAGGCGACGAUCCAUAGCUGGUUUGAGAGGAUGGUCAGCCACACUGGGACUGAGAAACGGCCCAGACUCCUACGGGAGGCAGCAGUGGGGGAUCUUAGACAAUGGGGGCAAUGCUGAUCUAGCCAUGCCGCGUGAGUGAUGAAGGCCUUAGGGUUGUAAAGCUCUUUCAGCUGGGAAGAUAAUGACGGUACCAGAAGAAGAAGCCCCGGCUAACUCCGUG
rnacentral:rRNA from 1 species